UACGAAGGGUGCUAGCGUUGUUCGGAAUUACUGGGCGUAAAGCGCACGCAGGCGGCUAUAUAAGUUAGCGGUGAAAUCCCGGGGCUCAACCUCGGAACUGCCAUUAAUACUGUAUAGCUUGAGUAUAUGAGAGGAUGAUGGAAUAUCCAGUGUAGAGGUGAAAUUCGUAGAUAUUGGAUAGAACACCAGUGGCGAAGGCGAUCAUCUGGCGUAUAACUGACGCUAAUGUGCGAAAGUGUGGGUAGCAAACAGG
rnacentral:rRNA from 1 species